GAGCGCUCCGCCAGGCUACGGGUGAUUUCGCGGCGACCCAGCGGAGCUCCCCGUUCCCGCUCUGCGGCUGCGCGAGCGCUCCCGGCUGGAGGGCGCGCGCAUCGGCCCCGCGCCCGUGCUCCUCGUCGCUGAAGAAGAGGCGCCGCGCGUGCUCGCGGGGCGUUUGUGGAGCACGAGCGUCGGCAGCCCCGGGCCGAAGCUGGGUUUGUUGUGCCGUCGUUCACUGCCAGGCGCUGACGGACAAUCCCCUGGCCCCCCCGUUACGGUCCCUGCCGAGGUUGUACAGUCAAACGCGACAGAGUCAGAUCACGCUUCUUCAGCUUCGGGGCAACGUGCAGAAAACCCUGAAGUCGCUAGCAAGUUUCUGCUCUUGAUUUACCCUGUUACCUCCAAACGUGCGCCUGCUGUUGCCGCCUUGACAUACUCUGGUGUUUGAGGCGUUGGGAGAAGGAGCGUUCAGCUUCGUGGGUCAGUUUCUAUUCGAAAACAACUCACAGGAAGAGGAGAGCAGGAUUUCCCAGAGUUCUCUCUACCAAAGCUUCCUCGCAUCGAGAUGCUGACCGUGCAGCCCUCGGGGCAGUGGGGAGGAGCCUGGGCAUCACCCCACGCAGCUGGUACCUGUGGUCUUCAGCAGCCUCCCCCCUUCGCGCCACUGGGCCAUAAAAAUAAGAAUGGUAUCCUCUUCUGCCUAUGCCGUGGACAGGGAGUGGACAAGACCAAUGUAAAUGCACACAGGUGUUCGGAAAUGGCACGGCCAAAGGAAAUCCCCCUCGCGUUACAGUAGGUUUGGACACCGGAAAUGGCUAACUUGUCAAGAGGUGCGUGACUCAGUGCAGCCAUGCCCAUUUUAGCUC